UGGGGAAUAUUGCACAAUGGGGAAGACCCUGAUGCAGCGACGCCGCGUGGAGGAAGAAGGCCCUCGGGUUGUAAACUCCUGUCUUUGGGGACGAUAAUGACGGUACCCAAGGAGGAAGCCACGGCUAACUACGUGCCAGCAGCCGCGGUAAAACGUAGGUGGCAAGCGUUGUCCGGAAUUACUGGGUGUAAAGGGAGCGCAGGCGGAGCGGCAAGUUGGAGGUGAAAAACCCAUGGGCUCAACCCAUGAAUUGCCUUCAAAACUGUCGGUCUUGAGUGGUGUAGAGGUAAGCGGAAUUCCCGGUGUAGCGGUGGAAUGCGUAGAUAUUGGGAGGAACACCAGUGGCGAAGGCGGCUUACUGGGCACUAACUGACGCUGAGGCUCGAAAGCAUGGGUAGCAAACAGGAUUAGAUACCC
rnacentral:rRNA from 1 species